rnacentral:pre_miRNA from 1 species
GCGCCUGACCGCGCGGCCAGUGGGUAUCACGGUUCAAGUGGAGAAGUGGUCUCUACGCUUUGUAUGAAAGUGAGAUUCAACUCCUCCAACUUAUUCCUGAUCCCCGGU